GAUGAAGAACGUAGCGAAAUGCGAUAAGUAAUGUGAAUUGCAGAAUUCAGUGAAUCAUCGAGUCUUUGAACGCACAUUGCGCCCCCUGGUAUUCCGGGGGGCAUGCCUGUCCGAGCGUCAUUGCUGCCCUCAAGCACGGCUUGUGUGUUGGGCCCCGUCCCCUCCCCCGGGGACGGGCCCGAAAGGCAGCGGCGGCACCGCGUCCGAUCCUCGAGCGUAUGGGGCUUUGUCACCCGCUCUGUAGGCCCGGCCGGCGCCAGCCGACACCCAACUUUUAUUUCUAAGGUUGACCUCGGAUCAGGUAGGGAUACCCGCUGAACUUAAGCAUAUCAAUAAGCGAGGA
rnacentral:misc_RNA from 1 species